rnacentral:tRNA from 1 species
CCGAGAUUAGGUUAUCUAAACCCCUAGUUUGUGGUACUAGAAAAGUGCUUUGCAUGUUUCGAA